rnacentral:rRNA from 1 species
AUUGAACGCUGGCGGCAGGCCUAACACAUGCAAGUCGAGCGGAUGAAGGGAGCUUGCUCCUGGAUUCAGCGGCGGACGGGUGAGUAAUGCCUAGGAAUCUGCCUGGUAGUGGGGGAUAACGUCCGGAAACGGGCGCUAAUACCGCAUACGUCCUGAGGGAGAAAGUGGGGGAUCUUCGGACCUCACGCUAUCAGAUGAGCCUAGGUCGGAUUAGCUAGUUGGUGGGGUAAAGGCCUACCAAGGCGACGAUCCGUAACUGGUCUGAGAGGAUGACCAGUCACACUGGAACUGAGACACGGUCCAGACUCCUACGGGAGGCAGCAGUGGGGAAUAUUGGACAAUGGGCGAAAGCCUGAUCCAGCCAUGCCGCGUGUGUGAAGAGGGUCUUCGGAUUGUAAAGCACUUUAAGUUGGGAGGAAGGGCAGUAAGUUAAUACCUUGCUGUUUUGACGUUACCAACAGAAUAAGCACCGGCUAACUUCGUG